GGAGAGGUGGCCGAGUGGUCGAAGGCGCACGCCUGGAAAGUGUGUAUACGGCAACGUAUCGAGGGUUCGAAUCCCUCCCUCUCC
rnacentral:tRNA from 1 species